AAAUUGAAGAGUUUGAUCAUGGCUCAGAUUGAACGCUGGCGGCAGGCCUAACACAUGCAAGUCGAACGGUAACAGGAAGCAGCUUGCUGCUUUGCUGACAAGUGGCGGACGGGUGAGUAAUGUCUGGGAAACUGCCUGAUGGAGGGGGAUAACUACUGGAAACGGUAGCUAAUACCGCAUAACGUCGCAAGACCAAAGAGGGGGACCUUCGGGCCUCUUGCCAUUGGAUGUGCCCAGAUGGGAUUAGCUAGUAGGUGGGGUAACGGCUCACCUAGGCGACGAUCCCUAGCUGGUCUGAGAGGAUGACCAGCCACACUGGAACUGAGACACGGUCCAGACUCCUACGGGAGGCAGCAGUGGGGAAUAUUGCACAAUGGGCGCA
rnacentral:rRNA from 1 species